rnacentral:tRNA from 1 species
UAGGCAACGAAUUUUGAUUUGCAAUUAAUAAAAGUUAUUUUAAACCUUGUCUAU